AGAGUUUGAUCCUGGCUCAGAAUGAACGCUGGCGGCGUGCCUAACACAUGCAAGUCGAACGAGAAAGGGGCCUUCGGGCUCUGAGUAAAGUGGCGAACGGGUGAGUAACGCGUGGGUAACCUGUCCUCAAGUGGGGAAUAACCUGGCGAAAGCCGGGCUAAUACCGCAUAAAAUCCUCGACUCCCCGGAGUUGAGGCUCAAAGGUAGCGAACUUCGAGUGCUGACGCUUGAGAGGGGGCCUGCGUCCCAUUAGCUAGUUGGUGAGGUAACGGCCCACCAAGGCUCCGAUGGGUAGCCGAGCUGAGAGGCUGAUCGGCCACACUGGAACUGAGACACGGUCCAGACUCCUACGGGAGGCAGCAGUGGGGAAUUUUGCGCAAUGGGGGAAACCCUGACGCAGCGACGCCGCGUGGGUGAUGAAGGCCUUCGGGUCGUAAAGCCCUGUCGAGCGGGACGAAACGUACGAGCUCUAACAUAGCUCGUACCUGACGGUACCGCUGGAGGAAGCCCCGGCUAACUCCGUGCCAGCAGCCGCGGUAAUACGGGGGGGGCGAGCGUUAUUCGGAAUUAUUGGGCGUAAAGGGCGUGUAGGCGGCCUAGCAUGUCCUCUGUGAAAGCCCUCGGCUCAACCGAGGAACUGCAGGGGAAACUGCAAGGCUUGAGUCCGGGAGAGGAGAGCGGAAUUCCCAGUGUAGCGGUGAAAUGCGUAGAUAUUGGGAGGAACACCAGUGGCGAAGGCGGCUCUCUGGACCGGUACUGACGCUAAAGCGCGAAAGCUAGGGGAGCAAACGGGAUUAGAUACCCCGGCAGUCCUAGCCGUAAACGAUGAGCGCUUGGUGUGGCGGGUAUCGACCCCUGCCGUGCCGAAGCUAACGCAUUAAGCGCUCCGCCUGGGGAGUA
rnacentral:rRNA from 1 species